rnacentral:lncRNA from 1 species
UGUGGGGCACUGGGACCAACUGGGGGGCACUGGGAACACUGGGGUGUGUUGGGGUGAUUUGGAAGGAGAAUACUGGGAUGUACUGGGAUCAACUGGGACCGGCUGGGACACUGGGGGGCAACUGGGAGCAACUGGGACCCAUUGCAACCAAUGGAGCGCAGCACUGGGACCAGUAGGGUGGCAUUGGGUUGGGGGUAUUCUGGGGGCACUGGGACCAACUGGGGGCACUGGGACCCAUUGGGGUGACGUGGAGGUGGGGCACUGGGACGAACUGGGACCAACUGGGACCAACUGGGACACUGGCUUGCAACUGGGGGCAACUGGGACUCAUUGCAACCAAUGGAGCGCAGCACUGGGACCAGUAGGGUGGCUUUGGGUUGGGGGCAUUUUGGGGGCACUGGGACAAACUGGGGGGCACUGGGACCCAUUGGGGUGACGUGGAGGUGGGGCACUGGGACCAACUGAGACCGACUGGGACACUGGGGGUGCAAACUGGGAUGCACUGGGACCCAUUGCAACCAAUGGAGCGCAGCACUGGGAGCAGUGGGGCGACAUCAGAUGGGUGACACUCGGGGGUCAGUGGUGGGGCACCGGGACCCCCUGUAACCCCCCCCCCCCUUAAUUUGUCCCCCCCCCUUUUUGGAGCAGUGUGGGAGCUGCUGCUGUGGCGCUGGCCGUGCCGCUCGGCGCUGGCACUGCUGGGGACGUUGGGGACAUUGGGUCUGGUGGCCCGGUACAGCGUGGUGGCCGUGGGGGCUUACGGGGCGCUGGCGGUGCUGGGGGUCACCGUCCCCAUAAAGCUGCACCGGGUGGCACUGAGGGCUUUGAGGAGGGGACAACCCGAGGGUGAGGGGAGGGUUCCUCCAUGCGCUGUGGGGCUGAGCACGGAGCAGCAGCAGCGUUGGGCGCAGCGCAUCGCCCGGCACCUGGUGGCUGCCACCCGCACCCUCACCCGCCUCUUCCUCGUCCACAGCCUCCCAGAGUCCCUCAAGGUGACACUGGGGUCGUGGGGGGGAGUUGGGGUCGUGGGGACACUGGGGGGUGUUUGGGU